GUGCACACCUUUAGAGCAUGUAAUACUUAUUCUUAAAUUUAGCAAUGCAACCAGAUGGCAAACAUGGUACCCUUUUACAAUUAAACCAUGGGAAUCCACUAUAUGUGAAACAAAUGACUGAUUUAGAAAUGUAUUCAGAUUUAUAUUAUAUGAAAAGCAUUUAAACACAAACCUGUCUUAGAUCUGGCUUAUUGUGUGGGUUUCAGACUGGAAAUUGCUAGAAAUGGUUGAGACCACUGUUUGACAUAUGGACUAAGUCUCCAAGCAAUGGGCUGGUGAACUAAUUUUAAAUGUAAAAAUUAGGUCCCCAAACAAAUGCAAUGUAUGGAAUUUGGAUCCCUGACAAAACAAAGGUUAGCUAACAUAAAAUGCCAUACCCACCCAUCUCUACUUACUCAGACACUGAAUCAAUUUCAUGUUACAUCCCUAGUCACCAAUGCUUAAAGGACCUCUAAAGGCACGUUGAACCAGUUUAUCUCAAUGAAGUGGUCAGGGUGCAGUGUCCCUUUAGUAGAAACUGCAGUGUCUUCAUUGUAGGGUUAAAAACACCUCUAGGAGCUGUUUUGCCUGACAACCACUAGAGAAGUUCUCCCUGUGAGAACAGAGUCAGAUCUGGUUUAUUAUUGCAAUUUAUAUAGAGCCAACAGUUUCCAUAGCGCUUUACAAUAUUAUGAGAGGGAGGAUUUAACUAUAAAUAGGACAAUUACAAGAAAACUUACAGGAACGAUAGGUUGAAGAGGACCGUGCUUAAACUAGCUUGUUCUCAAUCAAAUGCUGCUUCGAGAAAGAAUUUGAUUGGCUUUGGC